rnacentral:rRNA from 1 species
UACGUAGGGGGCGGAGCGUUGUCCGGAGUUUACUGGGCGGUAAAGGGCGUGCAGGCGGUGGCAGUAAGUUUGGAGUGAACAGUACCCCGGCUCAACGUGGGUAAGCCUUCGAAAACUGCUGGACUUGAGGGCCAGAGAGGGACAUAGAAUUCCGGGUGGAGUGGUGAAAUGCGUAGAUAUCCGGAGGAAUACCAAAGGCGAAGGCAGUGUCCAUGGCUGGCAUCUGACGCUGAGGCGCGAAAGCUAGGGGAGCGAACAGG